GAUGAAUGGUAGGAAGUUUGGUGGGAAUGAAGUGGUUGCUGUGUUUUAUCCAGAAGACAAGUUUGAUCAGGGAGAGUAUGGAGCCUGAAGCUCAUCCUUUGUUUGUUUGCUUGCUGUCUAGUACCUUUAAGUUCUCUUCAGUUUCAUCCUUUGUUUGUUUGCUUGCUUGCUGUCUAGUACCUUUAAGUUCUCUUCAGUUUUUUGCUUCUGUUAAAAGACCCUUGUGUUAUUUUAAGACCAAUAUAUGAUUUUGAUACUUUUGUUUGCUAUAAACCUUACCAAUGAAGUCCUGUUUUGUUCUCUC
rnacentral:lncRNA from 1 species